rnacentral:misc_RNA from 1 species
CACACCCACGUACAUCAUUUUUUCCCCUUUUUGCACUCAACUAUCACGUAUCUUCGCCUCUGUACUUCCCCUCACCUGUAGCUGCCUUUCGCACUUCCUGGCUUGCAUCAGCGCGACUCGGCUAUACUCUCUCAUCUCCCUCUCUCCCUCACCUCCUUCCAACGAUGGACAAUUUCCAGGCGACGUUUGAGGCUUUCGCGUCCUUCGGCAGCGCGCCGUCGAAGGAAAUGGACAACUCGCACUUCUCCAAAAUGCUGAAGGAGUGCAAGAUCAUUGGCAAGAGCUUCACGUCGACGGACGCCGACCUGCUCUUCAGCAAGGUGAAGGCGAAGGAAGCACGCAAAAUCAGCUUCACGGAGUUCAAGGAAAAGGCUAUUCCCGAGAUCGCAGCCAAGAUGAAGAAGACCCCUGCUGACAUCGAGGUCAUGAUAGCCAACGCCGCCCCCAAGUCCAGCGGCACCAAGGCCGACACGGUGCGUUUCCAUGAUGAUAAAAGCACCUACACCGGUGCUGCAAAGCAGGGCGGCCCGACAAACGUGGACCGAAACGCCGGCUCGCUCGCAGGUGUCGUGGACCGUCGCCAGGAGACAAUCGACAACCGCGGCACCACUGCGAAACAGAUCUAAACUCGAAAAGAGCAUCACUGAAUACAGUGCGUCGCUCGAAGGGAAAAGAGGAGAAUGAAGAGCGACAACAGGCGAAAAGAGGACGCGGCGUGGCUGCAUCUCGAUUGAGCCCUUGGCUACUUACACUCUUCACACCCGCGCUAGCCUCCGAGCGUGUGGGUAUGAGCUCGAGUGACUAGUUCUUACUUUCUCGGUGCUGUCGGACUGUGCUCGACGUGCUCCUCUUACGUUUCUCUUGUAUCGUUUGUAUGUGGACUUCAAGCUUUCUCUCCCUCCCUCUCUGUGAUGCCUCUUUGGAUCUCCUUCUUGUAUCUCUGUAGAGACACACGUUCCCCUCGCCAUGUACAUGGAACGUGUUGGGUAUUGCUCGUUUUGCGCGAGCCUGUGUCUUUCUCUUUUUAUUUCAUUUCCCUCUCUGAUUCUCUAUAUGUUUUUUUUUUUCGCCGGAUCGGACGUGAGGACUCAUGCUUGCUGCCUUGCGUGUGCUUGGGUGCCUUCAGCGUUACCACUUGCCUGUUAGUAUCCAGGGAUUUGUUUACGUACUCCUUUGCAUGUAGAUGAAUGGAGGCUUCCCAAAGACGCUGCAUCGACAGCGCCUCAGAGAAUGACAGCAACAAUGUCUCUUUCUCUGUCUCUGUGCUCGAUAUGUGCUCUCUAAAAAAAAAAUGAAACUCUCUGCCUCUCCGUUUUCUUGUAUUUCUGAUCGGAUCUGCCAUGCUCGCGAGUGUGCAUGCUGCCAUCACCCUUCUCUUCUUGGAUGCCUCAAUGGGCCUUGCACCGGCCUUUUGUGGUGACCACCUGCCUCUUGCCCUCCUCCUUCCCGCCAUGCUGCGUGUUGUCCCCAGUCGUUAUCGUUGUCGUCGGCAUUUCUCAGCGAGUCACAAGCACAGAUUCGACUUAUACAGUCGCCACGAUGGCACCGCAGUCGUGACCUCGCACAUCGCUACUAGGCAUCCCCGCGCAAGAAAGAGGAAGUGGCAGACAGACGUUCAUGGAGAUAUGCGGGCCCUACGCGGUUUAUCUUUUUUUUGUAGGUUUUGUUUUCCGGUAUGCUUUCUGAGGUUCUGCUCACCAGUUGCCUCGUGAAGAAGCAAAUAGGAGAGGCACUCGCAAUAGGCCGCACGCUGAGGUGUGUCGUUGGGCCUCCGUUAAGAAGAGACUGACUUCCGAUCCACCUUCGGGUCGCCACAACACAGGGAAGGACUAACCAUGUUGUCUCUCCGACUGUUGAGGUUGGAUGCGUGUAGGGUGAGCGAGCCAUCUCUGUUUCCAUCCGCUUGAUGAGGCGCUUCGCUUGAGAGGAACUCCUCCAACACCCCACCCUGACGAAGGUUGAAGGGAAAACGGCAGUUUACUUGC